rnacentral:rRNA from 1 species
UACGAAGGGGGCGAGCGUUGUUCGGAUUUACUGGGCGUAAAGGGCUCGUAGGUGGCCAACUAAGUCAGACGUGAAAUCCCUCGGCUUAACCGGGGAACUGCGUCUGAUACUGGAUGGCUUGAGUACGGGAGAGGGAUGCGGAAUUCCAGGUGUAGCGGUGAAAUGCGUAGAUAUCUGGAGGAACACCGGUGGCGAAGGCGGCGCUCUGGACCGAGACUGACGCUGAGGCGCGAAAGCGUGGGGAGCAAACAGG